UUCAGAAACCACAAACCUCUCAUAGUUAUUUUAAAGAGAUGUUCUUAUGAGAAUAGCCAUAGUUAGCCAGAAACCAAAUCUCAAAUACACAAUGGAUUUUCGGGUGCAGAUUUUCAGCUGCCUGCUAAUCAGUGUCACAGUGUCCAGUGGAGAAAUUGUGCUCACCCAGUCUCCAAUAACCAUGGCUGCAUCUCCAGGGGAGAAGGUCACCAUCACCUGCCGUGCCAGCUCAAGUGUAAGUUACAUGUACUGGUACCAGCAGAAGUCAGGAGCCUCCUCCAAACUCUGGAUUUAUGACACAUCCAAGCUGGCUUCUGGAGUCCCAGAUCGCUUCAGUGGCAGUGGGUCUGGGACAUCUUAUUCUCUCACAAUCAGCUCUGUGGAGACUGAAGAUGCUGCCACUUAUUACUGUCAGCAGUGGAGUAGUACCCCACCUACACAGUGAUACAGACUUGAACAAAAACCUCCUAACUCCUUAGGGUCCAGCUACUUCCUCCUAGAGAUAAAAUGUGUCUAAGUGUUUGAUGCAGUAUUCUAACAGGGUGUACUGCUUUACAAUGUCAUUUGCGUCUUUGGAUAAGUGUCUCCAUAAUAUUCCACUGUACUCAAGUAUUGAUCUCAAAUUAUCUACUUUGUCUGUCUCUAUUUAUUCUCAAUUUAUUUUUGUUCUGUUUGUUGAAGGCAAGUGUGACAGGCACUUCUCCCCCGAUAUGAUAUUUUACUGGUGGUUCCCAUGAACCUUCACAUCUAGUUUCUGCUACUUUCAUUGACUUUAGGAUCUUAGUAGGUGGAUUUUCUUCAAGAUAGUCACCUUCUCAAAGUACAGUGCUGUUGUUAUCCUAUACAAAGUAGUAUUCUUCGUAAUUUGUCUUCUGAAUUUUAUUAGUAGACCUUCUGUUUCACUAAAUUGUCCUGUUAAUAUGUGCUUGAAAUGAUUUUCUCUCUCAAAAAAAAAAAAGCUCUUGACAGUCAAGCAUAUUAUGUUUCUAUUCUCAUGACAAGCAAUUGAAACACCCCACUAAUAAUGAAUCAAAUAAGACAACAGAAAACUAAUAAACUAAUAUAUAGACAUUAAUUUUUCUUUAUAGCAAUCAAUCUAUGUAUACAGAUAUUCAUUUGUGUAUGUAUACCUUA